GCUAUAUUUAUUAAAUCUGGUUUGCCAUUGCUCAAUCGGGGGAGCAUUCAGUUAUUUCACUAAAUGCCAAGGGUACAAAUCAUGUGUAAUUCAAAUAAACUCUGGCACAGGAACAUAUCUGUCCUUGUUGGAUUUGGUCAACUAGCACAAAUAACAGAUUUACCCCUCUGUUAUCUUAUUUUGACCGAAGGUUUCCGAUGCUUAGUGCACACUCGUUGUCAAUUGACGAAUUCCUACGUGGACCGUGAAAUGUAGGCUACAUAGAAGUUAAACAGUAAUUUAGAGCAAAUAUCCCCAUUCAUGAAAAUGCAAAGCGCAAUAUCAGAUCAGGUAGUAUUAAACUGUGUGGACGGUCGAGAUAACGUCUCUCGGUGAGUAGCUUAUUCCAGUAGGCCAAUAUUUGUCCAAAUACAUGCUGUUUUUUUUUAUCAAACUGAUGUCUUUAACUUUAUUCAUAACAUUAUGGUGUGACCGAUUUAACGGGAGCCUUCUUGAAGAUUACUGACUAACCCAUGGACUAAUUAACCAGCUCUGCCUAAAAUAAAUUGCCUACUUAUUCUGUAAACCAGUUUUUUUUCACUCAGUGGUCCAUGUCAUUAUAUUCACUAGGUGGCGCACAAUACCACAUUAUCCAUUUUAAAUUCUAAAGUGUCUUCGUGAGCUUUAUGGAGUCUUACAAGGAAUUAGUUGGUGAAGUUCGUGCCAACGACAUCUUCAAAGGUUACACGUAUGCUGGAUAGGAUAUGCCUACUUUUGCGCACUUUUACGCCUUGAAUUGGGUGCACUGCGAAGGUGCCGUCCAUAUUUGCACGGAGGCCAGCUGACUGUCUGUUCAGGGUGAUAGUGAGUAGGGUAACCAAGGCUGGAUAACAAGAUUAGAUGGUAGCCUUAACGCUUUUAUCACUACAUUUAAUUGUAGGCAUGCUGUUGUUGUGUAUUUUACAUUUGAUCAGUAUGCCUUGUCAGUCAGUAUCAUGCCGAUGUGAAAUGCAUGCGCUAAUAGCGUUUCAAUCGGUGACGUCACUCGCUUCGAUGGGUAACGAUGCUUCGUGGGUGACUGUUGUUGAUGUGUGCAGAGGGUCUCUGGUUCGCGCGAGGGGACGGACUAAAGUUAUACUGUUACACCGAUAGUCUCACACAGGCAGGCUCCUGCCCUCUGAUCGAAUGGCGACAAAAACGUUGUGUUUACUGGGUGGUAAGCCUUGCGAAAUGUUUGGUAAAUUGCCGCUUAGGCCACCCACUGUGACCCGCUUGUGGGCGWGCUGGCAGCAGGUUCAAAGUGUGUCAAGAAUUCAGCAUCGCAAGUUCGUAUGAAGGUCUGGUUAUUAAAUGGGUAACGUUAAAUAGUUCAAUAGUAAUAAGCUCUAAAACGCUCUGGUGACAAACUUUGCUGCCCUGUUUCCAAUUGUCCACAUGGCUGGGAGAACCUACUCAAGUUUUCUGUCCUCAGAUAAAGAGAGCUAUGAAAGCCUGCCUACAGAUGAAGAGGUCCCAAUGAAGAGUGUGUUGUGCAGGCUCAGGUGUAUCACUGGCGCCUUCCACCUUCAAAGAAUAGUUAUAUCAGCUGUGUUGGUGAACCCCUCCCGCAUCUGAACU